GGGGGGGGGGUGCACCUGCAGUCGAACGGUGAAGCUCCAGCUUGCUGGAGUGGAUCAGUGGCGAACGGGUGAGUAACACGUGAGCAACCUGCCCCGGACUCUGGGAUAAGCGCUGGAAACGGCGUCUAAUACUGGAUACGCACCAGAACGGCAUCGUUACUGGUGGGAAAGAUUUUUCGGUCUGGGAUGGGCUCGCGGCCUAUCAGCUUGUUGGUGAGGUAAUGGCUCACCAAGGCGUCGACGGGUAGCCGGCCUGAGAGGGUGACCGGCCACACUGGGACUGAGACACGGCCCAGACUCCUACGGGAGGCAGCAGUGGGGAAUAUUGCACAAUGGGCGGAAGCCUGAUGCAGCAACGCCGCGUGAGGGAUGACGGCCUUCGGGUUGUAAACCUCUUUUAGCAGGGAAGAAGCGAGAGUGACGGUACCUGCAGAAAAAGCGCCGGCUAACUACGUGCCAGCAGCCGCGGUAAUACGUAGGGCGCAAGCGUUAUCCGGAAUUAUUGGGCGUAAAGAGCUCGUAGGCGGUCUGUCGCGUCUGCUGUGAAAACCCGAGGCUCAACCUCGGGCCUGCAGUGGGUACGGGCAGACUAGAGUGCGGUAGGGGAGAUUGGAAUUCCUGGUGUAGCGGUGGAAUGCGCAGAUAUCAGGAGGAACACCGAUGGCGAAGGCAGAUCUCUGGGCCGUAACUGACGCUGAGGAGCGAAAGGGUGGGGAGCAAACAGGCUUAGAUACCCUGGUAGUCCACCCCGUAAACGUUGGGAACUAGUUGUGGGGGCCUUUCCACGGUCUCCGUGACGCAGCUAACGCAUUAAGUUCCCCGCCUGGGGAGUACGGCCGCAAGGCUAAAACUCAAAGGAAUUGACGGGGACCCGCACAAGCGGCGGAGCAUGCGGAUUAU
rnacentral:rRNA from 1 species